rnacentral:rRNA from 1 species
AGUAAUGCGUGACCAACCUGCCCCAUGCUCCAGAAUAGCUCUUGGAAACGGGUGGUAAUGCUGGAUGCUCCAACUUGACGCAUGUCUUGUUGGGAAAGUGUUUAGUGGCAUGGGAUGGGGUCGCGUCCUAUCAGCUUGUAGGCGGGGUAAUGGCCCACCUAGGCUUCGACGGGUAGCCGGCCUGAGAGGGCGGACGGCCACAUUGGGACUGAGAUACAGCCCAGACUCCUACGGGAGGCAGCAGAC